UGCCUAGCAACUCCUAUCCCUACCUCCUCGUGGCACCGACCGGAAACUAUGAGCAACCUUAGGGAAGAUCACGUAACCAAACUUGGUGGGAACUUUGGUCGUAGGCUGACAGGGAAGG
rfam:Aedes albopictus isolate Foshan contig74582, whole genome shotgun sequence.